CAGAUUACACAUAGGGAACAGACAAAGUGGGAUGAUCGACUGAUACAAUAGAAGACUUUGGGGAUUAAGAAGUGAAUGAUUCUCACCUAAUGGAUUAAAACCAUUUUAAUAUGAAUGUAUGGGCUCAUACAUUGAUUCACAGGAUCACAGUUCUGCAUCUCUGAGUUCUGACACUUCCCGAGAUCACUAGAACAUUAGGGUUUCUACAAAAGUGAGAAUUCAAAGGGAAUUUCAAAUUUACUGUUGAAAUAGCCAAACUAGAAACAUUCUCCCAACUAGCUCAGCUGUCAGAUUGGUUGGUUUGGCCUUAAAUAUAAAAUCCACUUUGAAUUAAUUUUGAAUUCUCACUUGAGUAAAUAACCCUGUUUUUUUCCAUUAGCAAUAUAUUUAUGACUUAUGCCAUAUAUUAACGUAUUAACGUAUGGAGAGAUGGCAGGAAUUUUUUAAAUAAAAG